rnacentral:rRNA from 1 species
GAUAAAACGCUGGCGGCGUGCCUAAAACAUGCAAGUCGAACGGAUGGCUUCGGCCAUCAGUGGCGAACGGCUGAGUAACGCGUGGGUGACCUUCCUUUGAGUGGGGAAUAACUGCCCGAAAAGGGUAGCUAAUACCGCAUGUGGUCGUCGGAGCAUACCGACGACCAAAGUCGUAAGACGCUCGAAGCUGGGCCCGCGUCCGAUUAGCUUGUUGGUGGGGUAAUGGCCUACCAAGGCGACGAUCGGUAGCUGGUCUAAGGGGAUGAUCAGCCAGACUGGGACUGCGACACGGCCCAGACUCCUACGGGAGGCAGCAGUUAGGAAUUUUGGGCAAUGGGCGAAAGCCUGACCCAGCAACGCCGCGUGGGGGACGAAGGCCUUCGGUUGUAAACCCCUUUUCCAACGGAAGAUAAGUGACGGUACCUUGGGAAUAAGACCCGGCUAACUACGUGCCAGCAGCCGCGGUAAC